AGUUGAGAAUUAUAAAUUAAGUUAGAAGUGAUAUAAUUAUUGAGUUAGAUUAAGUUAAGGGGGUGGGAUGAGUAGAGUGGGGGGUGCUGAAUGGAAAAAGAUAGAAAACCUAGGUAUUAAGUAACUCUAAACUUCUAAACUAGAAACCAUUAUAAAACAAAAAGAAUAGAUAAGAGCUAGAGAAAGGGUCAGAGAAAGAACAAGAGCUAGAGAAGGAACAAAACCAAGAGAGGAAGAACAAGCUUGAGAAUUGAAGAGGAAGGACCAAAGUUUCCAACAAAUUGUUAAGGUUCUCAGGUUGUAUAUUUGUUGGUGUUCGAGUUGUUGGUGAAAGCUCCGCUCUGAUUGUGACACGGGGAAGGGUUCAUAGAGUCUUUAUUUGUUGUUUUAUUUAUUUAAAUUAAAGGUGUAUCUUUUAUAAAAGAAUCUUGUAUAAGUGAUGAUUACUAAUUUUCAAUGAAGAAUGUAACACCUUGAACCAAUAUUUUUUUUUAAUUCAUUUUGACUCCGAGUCUUGAAAGUUAUAUUUUUAUCCGCUGCGUAGUUUUGAAAAAGCAUUCUUUUAUUAAGAUAAAUUGAAUAUUGGGUUAGGGUGGUUACAAAGUUGGUAUCAGAGCCCCGUUGUCUUCGGACUGUGUGAGUUAUGUGUCAGUCAGAGUAGGUCUGUGCAGUCAGACCGAGUGAGCUUGUUGUCAGUCGUGUUUGUGUAACUAUUAUGAUUUUUUGUGAAUUAAUUUUUGUAGUUACACUUGCACAUUAGUCACUAUUUAAUUGUUUUGCGAAUGUGUAACUAGUUUCAUGAAUUUUGUUGGUAGUUCUUUUGUUAGCAUGUUGUUUUAUUUGAUUCAUGAGACUUGUGUUUUUAAUUGGUAUUGACUUUAGAAUUUAUAAUUCUUACUUCAUGAUUGAAUACUAAAAUGAUGAUAGUUUAUGUGAUAACUUGUUAAUACUUGAAUGAUAAAUGAUAUUUUGCUCUAGUUGCUUGAAUAUGAGAUUUCUUAUCUUCUUGUAUUUAUUGUGAGUAAACUAGAUAUGAAGUUGGUAAUUGUUUUGGUAUUAAUUGAACUUGUGUAGGAUGUUGAAAUUUAUUUUACUAUCUAGAAUCAAAUAUGACCUUGAAUAUGCUAGUGAAAUUAAUAGUUAAAUUAACUAUUUGUGGUAGAGUUUAUGUGAAUUCUUAUGUAUGUAUAUAUGAGUAUCUUUUGUGUAGUUCUUUAUUACAUAAAAUAAUUUUAGAACUAGUAUUAGUUCUUGAUGAUGUGAAUCUUGUUAAAAAUCUAAUUGUUUUCUUUAGAGUAAAUGAAUUCUAUGAUAUGUUUGGCAUAUGUUUUCAUUUACAUGAUAUGUGAUAGAUUAUUGCUAGUUGACUUGUUGUUUUAGUUAUUUGUAAGUUAUAGUGAAUAAAUAAUGUUAUUUUCUAUAAGAUGAAUUUGAUAAAUGUGUUGCACAAGUUGACUAUUUUAUUUUGUCAUGUUAGUUAUCAUGUUAAGAUAGAUAUAUUCUAUGCUUAUGUGAAUAUGAAUUGUUGAAUUUUUAAAAUUCAUUGCUGUGAAAUAUUUAUCUUUUCUUGUACUGAUUCGAUUCUCAAUUUUGAGAUUUAGAGAAGAUAUAUGUUUCUUGAAUGUCUAUGUGAAAUGCUAUGUUUUGCUUUUGUGCAAUUUAAUGUACAUGUUCAUGUUUUGUAUUUCGUAGUUUAUCCAUUGUAUUCGACAUGUGUGUAAACGCUGUCGAUACUAGUUUCUUUUGUGAGAGCUAGUUAGAGAACCGUAGAAGUCUACAAUUAGGUAUGAGAGUUGAGAAUUCCAAUUGGAGUUGUAGGUGGGUUUGAAAUAAGUGGGGGAGAAGAUAAUAUUCCUCUGAGAUGUUUGAGUGUAGGAAAAUAAGAUAGAUAGAGAUGUCCGAAGGAGAGUGUUCAGGCGUUAGUGAUGUCCGUUUCAGAGUUGGAUGAACUAGAAGGGCAGCUGGAGGACCGUUGAAGAAGUUGGUCAGAUCGAUUGUUUUAUUGUGGAGAGCGUCAUUAUUGUUGAGUAAGAAGAAUGAUGACAAUAUGGAGUGGUGUGUUGAUUCUCGGCGAUUGGAUGAGAAUAGCAUUAGACAAGUUUAUAGAUUAGUUGAUCAGUGCUUCUAAGUUAAGUAUGAGAGAUUGGAGAUCAAGUUAUCAUAAGAUAAAAGUGGAUGUCGUGGUGCAAUAGAAAAUCCUAAGUCGGUUAUUGAGAUUAGAAUUUUUCGGGAAUUAGCUAGUUACCGUCGGAGGUAUUGAAAGUUUACUAAAAUAAGUUGAAUGGUGUCCUUCUACAAAUGAUCAGGUUGUGGCUUAUGCGUCGAGGGAGUAGGGGAUUCAUGGAAGAAGUUAUCCGAUUCAUGAUUUGGAAUUGCGGUUGUUGUGUGUGUGCUCAAGAUUUUUUUUUUUUUUAAAAAAAAAACAUUUUGGAAGGUAAGAUGAGGUUAAGUAUAAGUGUCAUUAACGGAAGAAUGUAAUAAGAAAGUUAAUCGUUGGAAGGGCGUGUUAAAAACAAGUAAGGGAGGUGUACAUAGAAAAUGUGGCAUAUGUAAAGUUGCAUAUUCGUGAAAAGGAUUAUCUCACACGUGGUAUGAAAUAGUGGGUGUGCGUAUAUCUAAAGGAUGGAAAACGUUACUUGGAAUGAAUACCAGAGAGUACUUUGGAGUAUUAGGAGAUAAGAGCGAGUUAAGUAAAUGUUUAUCGGAAAAGGUUGAGUAUGAAAAAGUCGGUGCAGAUUAGUAAGAUUGAAUUCAUUGUACUUGUUGUAAUGAAGAAAUGAUUAGCAUAAGUGUAGUAUGUGAUGAGAAAAUAAAAGAUUUCGGAUAUUGUAAUCGUGGACAGUCUAACAAUAUAGAGGCAAUGAAUAACUUAAGACUAUGGUUUGAAUAAGAAUUGAAUAUGGACAUAUUCAGAUUAAAAGGAACUAAGAGAUUAAAAGGAAAAAGAAGGAACUUGUGGAAACUUGUGAAGUUAUCAACAGGGAUGAGAUCUUUUCGAAGUGAAAUGAAUGAGUGGUACUUGUUGUAGAGUGUUACUUUUCGGAUAUUUCGUGCUUAGGAAAACACUAUUGUAGUUUGGUAAAGUUGGUUUAUGCAAUCAUUAUGAUUAUUGGCUAUUUAUUGGCAAAUUGAGGAACUGGCCGUCCUUAAUCUCUUGUUGAUAGUAGACGGAAUCAUGUUGAUUGGAAUAAACUAGUUUUGUCAAACUUUGUAGUGUGUGGAGUUUUUGGUGUUUAUGUUCUGAGAAUCGGAUGAAGGAGUAGUAUUUGGAUUUGUUUCACUUAGAUAAUUUUCGAGGGCGAAAAUUCUUUUAAGUGGGGGAGAGUUGUAACAUCCCAUUUCGAUUAUUAGUAUUUAUUUAAUUAUUCGAUUAUUGAUAUUUAUUUAUUUAUUAUUUUAUUUAUGUGAUUGUUUGUGUUUAUUUUAUUUAUGAGGGCAUAAUAGUCAUAAUCAGAUAUUAAUUAGUUGAGAAUUAUAAAUUAAGUUAGAAGUGAUAUAAUUAUUGAGUUAGAUUAAGUUAAGGGGGUGGGAUGAGUAUAGUGGGGGGUGCUGAAUGGAAAAAGAUAGAAAACCUAGGUAUUAAGUAACUCUAAACUUCUAAACUAGAAACCAUUAUAAAACAAAAAGAAUAGAUAAGAGCUAGAGAAAGGGUCAGAGAAAGAACAAGAGCUAGAGAAGGAGCAAAACCAAGAGAGGAAGAACAAGCUUGAGAAUUGAAGAGGAAGGACCAAAGUUUCCAACAAAUUGUUAAGGUUCUCAGGUUGUAUAUUUGUUGGUGUUCGAGUUGUUGGUGAAAGCUCCGCUCUGAUUGUGACACGGGGAAGGGUUCAUAGAGUCUUUAUUUGUUGUUUUAUUUAUUUAAAUUAAAGGUGUAUCUUUUAUAAAAGAAUCUUGUAUAAGUGAUGAUUACUAAUUUUCAAUGAAGAAUGUAACACCUUGAACCAAUAUUUUUUUUUAAUUCAUUUUGACUCCGAGUCUUGAAAGUUAUAUUUUUAUCCGCUGCGUAGUUUUGAAAAAGCAUUCUUUUAUUAAGAUAAAUUGAAUAUUGGGUUAGGGUGGUUACAAAGUUGGUAUCAGAGCCCCGUUGUCUUCGGACUGUGUGAGUUAUGUGUCAGUCAGAGUAGGUCUGUGCAGUCAGACCGAGUGAGCUUGUUGUCAGUCGUGUUUGUGUAACUAUUAUGAUUUUUUGUGAAUUAAUUUUUGUAGUUACACUUGCACAUUAGUCACUAUUUAAUUGUUUUGCGAAUGUGUAACUAGUUUCAUGAAUUUUGUUGGUAGUUCUUUUGUUAGCAUGUUGUUUUAUUUGAUUCAUGAGACUUGUGUUUUUAAUUGGUAUUGACUUUAGAAUUUAUAAUUCUUACUUCAUGAUUGAAUACUAAAAUGAUGAUAGUUUAUGUGAUAACUUGUUAAUACUUGAAUGAUAAAUGAUAUUUUGCUCUAGUUGCUUGAAUAUGAGAUUUCUUAUCUUCUUGUAUUUAUUGUGAGUAAACUAGAUAUGAAGUUGGUAAUUGUUUUGGUAUUAAUUGAACUUGUGUAGGAUGUUGAAAUUUAUUUUACUAUCUAGAAUCAAAUAUGACCUUGAAUAUGCUAGUGAAAUUAAUAGUUAAAUUAACUAUUUGUGGUAGAGUUUAUGUGAAUUCUUAUGUAUGUAUAUAUGAGUAUCUUUUGUGUAGUUCUUUAUUACAUAAAAUAAUUUUAGAACUAGUAUUAGUUCUUGAUGAUGUGAAUCUUGUUAAAAAUCUAAUUGUUUUCUUUAGAGUAAAUGAAUUCUAUGAUAUGUUUGGCAUAUGUUUUCAUUUACAUGAUAUGUGAUAGAUUAUUGCUAGUUGACUUGUUGUUUUAGUUAUUUGUAAGUUAUAGUGAAUAAAUAAUGUUAUUUUCUAUAAGAUGAAUUUGAUAAAUGUGUUGCACAAGUUGACUAUUUUAUUUUGUCAUGUUAGUUAUCAUGUUAAGAUAGAUAUAUUCUAUGCUUAUGUGAAUAUGAAUUGUUGAAUUUUUAAAAUUCAUUGCUGUGAAAUAUUUAUCUUUUCUUGUACUGAUUCGAUUCUCAAUUUUGAGAUUUAGAGAAGAUAUAUGUUUCUUGAAUGUCUAUGUGAAAUGCUAUGUUUUGCUUUUGUGCAAUUUAAUGUACAUGUUCAUGUUUUGUAUUUCGUAGUUUAUCCAUUGUAUUCGACAUGUGUGUAAACGCUGUCGAUACUAGUUUCUUUUGUGAGAGCUAGUUAGAGAACCGUAGAAGUCUACAAUUAGGUAUGAGAGUUGAGAAUUCCAAUUGGAGUUGUAGGUGGGUUUGAAAUAAGUGGGGGAGAAGAUAAUAUUCCUCUGAGAUGUUUGAGUGUAGGAAAAUAAGAUAGAUAGAGAUGUCCGAAGGAGAGUGUUCAGGCGUUAGUGAUGUCCGUUUCAGAGUUGGAUGAACUAGAAGGGCAGCUGGAGGACCGUUGAAGAAGUUGGUCAGAUCGAUUGUUUUAUUGUGGAGAGCGUCAUUAUUGUUGAGUAAGAAGAAUGAUGACAAUAUGGAGUGGUGUGUUGAUUCUCGGCGAUUGGAUGAGAAUAGCAUUAGACAAGUUUAUAGAUUAGUUGAUCAGUGCUUCUAAGUUAAGUAUGAGAGAUUGGAGAUCAAGUUAUCAUAAGAUAAAAGUGGAUGUCGUGGUGCAAUAGAAAAUCCUAAGUCGGUUAUUGAGAUUAGAAUUUUUCGGGAAUUAGCUAGUUACCGUCGGAGGUAUUGAAAGUUUACUAAAAUAAGUUGAAUGGUGUCCUUCUACAAAUGAUCAGGUUGUGGCUUAUGCGUCGAGGGAGUAGGGGAUUCAUGGAAGAAGUUAUCCGAUUCAUGAUUUGGAAUUGCGGUUGUUGUGUGUGUGCUCAAGAUUUUUUUUUUUUUAAAAAAAAAAACAUUUUGGAAGGUAAGAUGAGGUUAAGUAUAAGUGUCAUUAACGGAAGAAUGUAAUAAGAAAGUUAAUCGUUGGAAGGGCGUGUUAAAAACAAGUAAGGGAGGUGUACAUAGAAAAUGUGGCAUAUGUAAAGUUGCAUAUUCGUGAAAAGGAUUAUCUCACACGUGGUAUGAAAUAGUGGGUGUGCGUAUAUCUAAAGGAUGGAAAACGUUACUUGGAAUGAAUACCAGAGAGUACUUUGGAGUAUUAGGAGAUAAGAGCGAGUUAAGUAAAUGUUUAUCGGAAAAGGUUGAGUAUGAAAAAGUCGGUGCAGAUUAGUAAGAUUGAAUUCAUUGUACUUGUUGUAAUGAAGAAAUGAUUAGCAUAAGUGUAGUAUGUGAUGAGAAAAUAAAAGAUUUCGGAUAUUGUAAUCGUGGACAGUCUAACAAUAUAGAGGCAAUGAAUAACUUAAGACUAUGGUUUGAAUAAGAAUUGAAUAUGGACAUAUUCAGAUUAAAAGGAACUAAGAGAUUAAAAGGAAAAAGAAGGAACUUGUGGAAACUUGUGAAGUUAUCAACAGGGAUGAGAUCUUUUCGAAGUGAAAUGAAUGAGUGGUACUUGUUGUAGAGUGUUACUUUUCGGAUAUUUCGUGCUUAGGAAAACACUAUUGUAGUUUGGUAAAGUUGGUUUAUGCAAUCAUUAUGAUUAUUGGCUAUUUAUUGGCAAAUUGAGGAACUGGCCGUCCUUAAUCUCUUGUUGAUAGUAGACGGAAUCAUGUUGAUUGGAAUAAACUAGUUUUGUCAAACUUUGUAGUGUGUGGAGUUUUUGGUGUUUAUGUUCUGAGAAUCGGAUGAAGGAGUAGUAUUUGGAUUUGUUUCACUUAGAUAAUUUUCGAGGGCGAAAAUUCUUUUAAGUGGGGGAGAGUUGUAACAUCCCAUUUCGAUUAUUAGUAUUUAUUUAAUUAUUCGAUUAUUGAUAUUUAUUUAUUUAUUAUUUUAUUUAUGUGAUUGUUUGUGUUUAUUUUAUUUAUGAGGGCAUAAUAGUCAUAAUCAGAUAUUAAUUAGUUGAGAAUUAUAAAUUAAGUUAGAAGUGAUAUAAUUAUUGAGUUAGAUUAAGUUAAGGGGGUGGGAUGAGUAUAGUGGGGGGUGCUGAAUGGAAAAAGAUAGAAAACCUAGGUAUUAAGUAACUCUAAACUUCUAAACUAGAAACCAUUAUAAAACAAAAAGAAUAGAUAAGAGCUAGAGAAAGGGUCAGAGAAAGAACAAGAGCUAGAGAAGGAGCAAAACCAAGAGAGGAAGAACAAGCUUGAGAAUUGAAGAGGAAGGACCAAAGUUUCCAACAAAUUGUUAAGGUUCUCAGGUUGUAUAUUUGUUGGUGUUCGAGUUGUUGGUGAAAGCUCCGCUCUGAUUGUGACACGGGGAAGGGUUCAUAGAGUCUUUAUUUGUUGUUUUAUUUAUUUAAAUUAAAGGUGUAUCUUUUAUAAAAGAAUCUUGUAUAAGUGAUGAUUACUAAUUUUCAAUGAAGAAUGUAACACCUUGAACCAAUAUUUUUUUUUAAUUCAUUUUGACUCCGAGUCUUGAAAGUUAUAUUUUUAUCCGCUGCGUAGUUUUGAAAAAGCAUUCUUUUAUUAAGAUAAAUUGAAUAUUGGGUUAGGGUGGUUACAAAGUUGGUAUCAGAGCCCCGUUGUCUUCGGACUGUGUGAGUUAUGUGUCAGUCAGAGUAGGUCUGUGCAGUCAGACCGAGUGAGCUUGUUGUCAGUCGUGUUUGUGUAACUAUUAUGAUUUUUUGUGAAUUAAUUUUUGUAGUUACACUUGCACAUUAGUCACUAUUUAAUUGUUUUGCGAAUGUGUAACUAGUUUCAUGAAUUUUGUUGGUAGUUCUUUUGUUAGCAUGUUGUUUUAUUUGAUUCAUGAGACUUGUGUUUUUAAUUGGUAUUGACUUUAGAAUUUAUAAUUCUUACUUCAUGAUUGAAUACUAAAAUGAUGAUAGUUUAUGUGAUAACUUGUUAAUACUUGAAUGAUAAAUGAUAUUUUGCUCUAGUUGCUUGAAUAUGAGAUUUCUUAUCUUCUUGUAUUUAUUGUGAGUAAACUAGAUAUGAAGUUGGUAAUUGUUUUGGUAUUAAUUGAACUUGUGUAGGAUGUUGAAAUUUAUUUUACUAUCUAGAAUCAAAUAUGACCUUGAAUAUGCUAGUGAAAUUAAUAGUUAAAUUAACUAUUUGUGGUAGAGUUUAUGUGAAUUCUUAUGUAUGUAUAUAUGAGUAUCUUUUGUGUAGUUCUUUAUUACAUAAAAUAAUUUUAGAACUAGUAUUAGUUCUUGAUGAUGUGAAUCUUGUUAAAAAUCUAAUUGUUUUCUUUAGAGUAAAUGAAUUCUAUGAUAUGUUUGGCAUAUGUUUUCAUUUACAUGAUAUGUGAUAGAUUAUUGCUAGUUGACUUGUUGUUUUAGUUAUUUGUAAGUUAUAGUGAAUAAAUAAUGUUAUUUUCUAUAAGAUGAAUUUGAUAAAUGUGUUGCACAAGUUGACUAUUUUAUUUUGUCAUGUUAGUUAUCAUGUUAAGAUAGAUAUAUUCUAUGCUUAUGUGAAUAUGAAUUGUUGAAUUUUUAAAAUUCAUUGCUGUGAAAUAUUUAUCUUUUCUUGUACUGAUUCGAUUCUCAAUUUUGAGAUUUAGAGAAGAUAUAUGUUUCUUGAAUGUCUAUGUGAAAUGCUAUGUUUUGCUUUUGUGCAAUUUAAUGUACAUGUUCAUGUUUUGUAUUUCGUAGUUUAUCCAUUGUAUUCGACAUGUGUGUAAACGCUGUCGAUACUAGUUUCUUUUGUGAGAGCUAGUUAGAGAACCGUAGAAGUCUACAAUUAGGUAUGAGAGUUGAGAAUUCCAAUUGGAGUUGUAGGUGGGUUUGAAAUAAGUGGGGGAGAAGAUAAUAUUCCUCUGAGAUGUUUGAGUGUAGGAAAAUAAGAUAGAUAGAGAUGUCCGAAGGAGAGUGUUCAGGCGUUAGUGAUGUCCGUUUCAGAGUUGGAUGAACUAGAAGGGCAGCUGGAGGACCGUUGAAGAAGUUGGUCAGAUCGAUUGUUUUAUUGUGGAGAGCGUCAUUAUUGUUGAGUAAGAAGAAUGAUGACAAUAUGGAGUGGUGUGUUGAUUCUCGGCGAUUGGAUGAGAAUAGCAUUAGACAAGUUUAUAGAUUAGUUGAUCAGUGCUUCUAAGUUAAGUAUGAGAGAUUGGAGAUCAAGUUAUCAUAAGAUAAAAGUGGAUGUCGUGGUGCAAUAGAAAAUCCUAAGUCGGUUAUUGAGAUUAGAAUUUUUCGGGAAUUAGCUAGUUACCGUCGGAGGUAUUGAAAGUUUACUAAAAUAAGUUGAAUGGUGUCCUUCUACAAAUGAUCAGGUUGUGGCUUAUGCGUCGAGGGAGUAGGGGAUUCAUGGAAGAAGUUAUCCGAUUCAUGAUUUGGAAUUGCGGUUGUUGUGUGUGUGCUCAAGAUUUUUUUUUUUUUAAAAAAAAAAACAUUUUGGAAGGUAAGAUGAGGUUAAGUAUAAGUGUCAUUAACGGAAGAAUGUAAUAAGAAAGUUAAUCGUUGGAAGGGCGUGUUAAAAACAAGUAAGGGAGGUGUACAUAGAAAAUGUGGCAUAUGUAAAGUUGCAUAUUCGUGAAAAGGAUUAUCUCACACGUGGUAUGAAAUAGUGGGUGUGCGUAUAUCUAAAGGAUGGAAAACGUUACUUGGAAUGAAUACCAGAGAGUACUUUGGAGUAUUAGGAGAUAAGAGCGAGUUAAGUAAAUGUUUAUCGGAAAAGGUUGAGUAUGAAAAAGUCGGUGCAGAUUAGUAAGAUUGAAUUCAUUGUACUUGUUGUAAUGAAGAAAUGAUUAGCAUAAGUGUAGUAUGUGAUGAGAAAAUAAAAGAUUUCGGAUAUUGUAAUCGUGGACAGUCUAACAAUAUAGAGGCAAUGAAUAACUUAAGACUAUGGUUUGAAUAAGAAUUGAAUAUGGACAUAUUCAGAUUAAAAGGAACUAAGAGAUUAAAAGGAAAAAGAAGGAACUUGUGGAAACUUGUGAAGUUAUCAACAGGGAUGAGAUCUUUUCGAAGUGAAAUGAAUGAGUGGUACUUGUUGUAGAGUGUUACUUUUCGGAUAUUUCGUGCUUAGGAAAACACUAUUGUAGUUUGGUAAAGUUGGUUUAUGCAAUCAUUAUGAUUAUUGGCUAUUUAUUGGCAAAUUGAGGAACUGGCCGUCCUUAAUCUCUUGUUGAUAGUAGACGGAAUCAUGUUGAUUGGAAUAAACUAGUUUUGUCAAACUUUGUAGUGUGUGGAGUUUUUGGUGUUUAUGUUCUGAGAAUCGGAUGAAGGAGUAGUAUUUGGAUUUGUUUCACUUAGAUAAUUUUCGAGGGCGAAAAUUCUUUUAAGUGGGGGAGAGUUGUAACAUCCCAUUUCGAUUAUUAGUAUUUAUUUAAUUAUUCGAUUAUUGAUAUUUAUUUAUUUAUUAUUUUAUUUAUGUGAUUGUUUGUGUUUAUUUUAUUUAUGAGGGCAUAAUAGUCAUAAUCAGAUAUUAAUUAGUUGAGAAUUAUAAAUUAAGUUAGAAGUGAUAUAAUUAUUGAGUUAGAUUAAGUUAAGGGGGUGGGAUGAGUAUAGUGGGGGGUGCUGAAUGGAAAAAGAUAGAAAACCUAGGUAUUAAGUAACUCUAAACUUCUAAACUAGAAACCAUUAUAAAACAAAAAGAAUAGAUAAGAGCUAGAGAAAGGGUCAGAGAAAGAACAAGAGCUAGAGAAGGAGCAAAACCAAGAGAGGAAGAACAAGCUUGAGAAUUGAAGAGGAAGGACCAAAGUUUCCAACAAAUUGUUAAGGUUCUCAGGUUGUAUAUUUGUUGGUGUUCGAGUUGUUGGUGAAAGCUCCGCUCUGAUUGUGACACGGGGAAGGGUUCAUAGAGUCUUUAUUUGUUGUUUUAUUUAUUUAAAUUAAAGGUGUAUCUUUUAUAAAAGAAUCUUGUAUAAGUGAUGAUUACUAAUUUUCAAUGAAGAAUGUAACACCUUGAACCAA